rnacentral:rRNA from 1 species
GACGAACGCUGGCGGCGUGCUUAACACAUGCAAGUCGAACGAUGAAGCCGGAGCUUGCUCUGGUGAAUUAGUGGCGAACGGGUGAGUAACACGUGAGUAACCUGCCCUUGACUCUGGAAUAACUGCGGGAAACUGUAGCUAAUACCGGAUACGACCCUCGGCGGCAUCGCCAGGGGGUGGAAAGAAUUUCGGUCAAGGAUGGACUCGCGGCCUAUCAGCUAGUUGGUGAGGUAACGGCUCACCAAGGCGACGACGGGUAGCCGGCCUGAGAGGGUGACCGGCCACACUGGGACUGAGACACGGCCCAGACUCCUACGGGAGGCAGCAGUGGGGAAUAUUGCACAAUGGGCGCAAGCCUGAUGCAGCAACGCCGCGUGAAGGAUGACGGCCUUCGGGUUGUAAACCUCUUUUAGUAGGGAAGAAGCGAAAGUGACGGUACCUGCAGAAAAAGCACCGGCUAACUACGUGCCAGCCGCCGCGGUAA